UGGGGAAUAUUGGACAAUGGGCGCAAGCCUGAUCCAGCCAUGCCGCGUGAGUGAUGAAGGCCCUAGGGUUGUAAAGCUCUUUCACCGGUGAAGAUAAUGACGGUAACCGGAGAAGAAGCCCCGGCUAACUUCGUGCCAUCAGCCGCGGUAAUACGAAGGGGGCUAGCGUUGUUCGGAUUUACUGGGCGUAAAGCGCACGUAGGCGGACUUUUAAGUCAGGGGUGAAAUCCCGGGGCUCAACCCCGGAACUGCCUUUGAUACUGGAAGUCUUGAGGAUGGUAGAGGUGAGUGGAAUUCCGAGUGUAGAGGUGAAAUUCGUAGAUAUUCGGGGGAACACCAGUGGCGAAGGCGGCUCACUGGACCAUUACUGACGCUGAGGUGCGAAAGCGUGGGGAGCAAACAGG
rnacentral:rRNA from 1 species